GGGGUAGUAGCUCUAAUUGGCAGAGCGUGAGAUUUGUAAUCUUAAGGUUAAGGGUUCAAGUCCCUUCUGCCCCU
rnacentral:tRNA from 1 species